UCUUCGUUAGUACAGGGGUUAGUAUAUCCGCCUUUCAGAGAUCGCUGUACAACAGCCGUAAACUGAGCGCGGGCGACCCGGGUUCGAUUCCCGGACGGAGAA
rnacentral:tRNA from 1 species